UUGAAACUUCGGUUUAUGUACGUUCACCGAAGUUAAACAACGCCGAGCCUGGUUAGUACAUAGAUGGGUGACCGCUUGGGAAUACCAGGUGCAGUAAG